rnacentral:rRNA from 1 species
CCUACGGGUGGCAGCAGUGGGGAAUAUUGGGCAAUGGAGGCAACUCUGACCCAGCAACGCCGCGUGAAUGAUGAAGGUCUUCGGAUUGUAAAGUUCUGUGAUGGGGGAUGAACACAAUGACGGUACCCCAAUAGCAAGCCACGGCUAACUACGUGCCAGCAGCCGCGGUAAUACGGAGGUGGCAAGCGUUAUCCGGAAUGACUGGGCGUAAAGGGUGCGUAGGUGGUUUAGUAAGUUGGCGGUGUAAUUCCGGGGCUCAACCUCGGCGCUACCGCCAAAACUAUUAGACUAGAGUGCAGGAGGGGCAACCGGAAGUCCUAGUGUAGCGGUGGAAUGCGUAGAUAUUAGGAGGAACACCAGUGGCGAAGGCGGGUUGCUAGACUGUAACUGACACUGAGGCACGAAAGCGUGGGGAGCAAACAGGAUUAGAUACCCUUGUAGUC